rnacentral:rRNA from 1 species
UACGUAGGGACCAAGCGUUGUCCGGAAUCAUUGGGCGUAAAGAGCGUGUAGGCGGCUUGUUAAGUCUUGUGUGAAAUCUCGGGGCUCAACCCCGAGCGGUCAUGAGAAACUGGCAGGGCUAGAGUGCGGGGAGAGGAGAGUGGAAUUCCUGGUGUAGCGGUGAAAUGCGCAGAUAUCGGGAGGAACACCGGUGGCGAAGGCGGUUCUCUGGGCCUUACCUGACGCUGAGGAGCGAAAGCGUGGGGAGCGAACAGG